rnacentral:misc_RNA from 1 species
UUGUGGAGGAGGACGCCGAAGGUGGGGCUAAUGACUGGGGUGAAGUCGUAACAAGGUAGCCGUACCGGAAGGCGCGGCUGGAUCACCUCCUAACAGGGAGACAACAAAAUGUAAAUAUUAAUUUUGUCACCUUAGGUCGAUCGGUAUCUCAGAUUCUUAAAUCUUAAGAAUUUUAGUUUCUAAGUUUUUUCUAGGUCACACCCAUUACUCUUCCCUGGGCCAUUAGCUCAGGUGGUUAGAGCGCACCCCUGAUAAGGGUGAGGUCCCUGGUUCAAGUCCAGGAUGGCCCAUAUCUCUAUGUUGGGGGUAUAGCUCAGUUGGUAGAGCGCCUGCUUUGCAAGCAGGAUGUCAGCGGUUCGAGUCCGCUUACCUCCACUGAAUACCACCUUUAACAUAUUGUUAAAAAGGGGAAUAGUUUUGAGUAGUGCACUCUUUGCUCUGAGCGAAUCUAGCUUCCUAUUUUAUUUGAUAAACUAAGAUGCUGGACUCACUGAAUUAUUAUUCAUUGUUUUCAGAGAACCUUGACAACUGCAUAGAUUAUUUUUGAAGACAAUAAGCAUCUUUAAUGAUGCAGAUUUAUUAUUUGUGCGAGUGCAUUAAAUAACAAUUCUAUUAAGCCGAUGCUUCAAUAUAUUGAAGUUAUUGGUCAAGCUACAA